rnacentral:misc_RNA from 1 species
UCAAACUUGGUCAUUUAGAGGAAGUAAAAGUCGUAACAAGGUUUCCGUAGGUGAACCUGCGGAAGGAUCAUUACAGGAUUAUAUAACGAGGAAGGAGGUGGUCUUCGGAUCCCUUCGUCUUCAAUCCAAUCCAAACCCCUUUGUGAACCACCGCGAGGACUAGUACGAGGCCUUCUCUCAGGUCUUGGAAAGUUCACGUAUAAACCUAUAUACCCCAGUAUGCAUGUCUCAGAAUGUACCUUUGCGUUGAUCGCAAUAAAAUACAACUUUCAGCAACGGAUCUCUUGGCUCUCGCAUCGAUGAAGAACGCAGC